AGCGAACGCUGGCGGCAGGCUUAACACAUGCAAGUCGAGCGGGCCCUUCGGGGUCAGCGGCGGACGGGUGAGUAACGCGUGGGAACGUGCCUUCUGGUUCGGAAUAACCCUGGGAAACUAGGGCUAAUACCGGAUACGCCCUUUUGGGGAAAGGUUUACUGCCGGAAGAUCGGCCCGCGCCUGAUUAGCUAGUUGGUGGGGUAACGGCCUACCAAGGCGACGAUCAGUAGCUGGUCUGAGAGGAUGAUCAGCCACACUGGGACUGAGACACGGCCCAGACUCCUACGGGAGGCAGCAGUGGGGAAUAUUGGACAAUGGGCGCAAGCCUGAUCCAGCCAUGCCGCGUGAGUGAUGAAGGCCUUAGGGUUGUAAAGCUCUUUUAUCCGGGACGAUAAUGACGGUACCGGAGGAAUAAGCCCCGGCUAACUUCGUGCCAGCCGCCGCGGUAACAC
rnacentral:rRNA from 1 species